rnacentral:rRNA from 1 species
UACAGAGGAGCCAAGCGUUGUCCGGAUUGACUGGGCGUAAAGCGCACGCAGGCGGUUUGGCGCGUGGGGUGUGAAAUCUGGCCGCUUAACGGCCAGGCGCCAUCCCAUACGGCCGGACUGGAGGGCUGCAGAGGUCGAUGGAAUUGCCGGUGUAGUGGUGAAAUGCGUAGAGAUCAGGAAGAACACCCGUGGCGCAAGCGGCCACCUGGCCAAGAGCUGACGCUGAGGCACGAGAGCGUGGGGAGCGAACCGG